rnacentral:lncRNA from 1 species
AAGAACAUGAAAUGCUGAGGCAGCUUCAGCUAACAACAGCGCGUGGUGUCCCCGCCCAGAACCAAAUUAACCCAAAUGACGAUAACAGCAGGACUUUUAAAUCAUGGCCAUACCACUCUGAAAAUGAACCCAAUCUUGUCUGAUAAAGGAUGGAUUUGGGCAAUCCAGUAAAGAAAACGCCAGCAUUGGUGAGUAGAAAUGGCAUGUAAGCUCUGGAUUCAAAACAAGGCAUCAGGGGAUAAUUGUGACAGAGGCCAAUGCUUUAGGAAAUGAUUUUUCUUGUGCCAUAAAUUGUAGUUGAAGGAUAAUUUUGUUUUUGUUUUGUUUCUCCCCAGAGUGGCCUCAUGAAUAUGAAGAUAUCUGGAAAAUCUUCACUACACAGCAUGAUUUCAGGAAUGAUGAAACAAUAAAUGAGAAUCUGGUAUUAAUAAUCUGUGGGUUUU